AUUGGGCAUAUAAUUGGAUAAUUCUGUCCUCAACAUGGAAGAAUUGGUUUGUUCUUAACCAUCUAUAAUCCAUUCUCUAUGAAGUGAAGCCUGGCUGCUGGUCUUCCUUUGGAAAUACACAGUUAGUCAAUCAACAUAGAAACACACAAACUUGAAGGAUUCUCUUGUGAGGGCUUAUGGAAAUGAUCUAUAUCUACUCAAGAAAGGACUCAGGAUUGUAUCUUUCACUGUCAGACACUGACUAUGGAUAAAGUGUAAUCAUUUAUCAGACUGAGAUCUAGUCAAAUCAAGUAUUGAAAAUAUGAUUUUCUGAGAGCAUGAGCUCUUUAAAAACUAAUUCUCAAUGACCUCAAAGUAUCUGAAAGUGACUUUUAUUUUUACCAAUUCAUAUUGAAGACUGUUGUUAUGUAUGGGAAUUACACAUUUAAACCUUUUAUUUUUCAUCUAAUUUUUACAACCCCCUAGAAAUUAUCACAGAUAUCCAGAUGCUGGAUUUAAUGUUAUUAUUUAACUUUCCUGGAAUUGUAAAUAUAUUUUGUUUGUGUAUGUAUCAUGUUUAAUUUUGAAUUUAAAUUGGGUCUCAAUAAGACCCCCAAUAAAGAUGCAAGUGUCCCAUAAUCUUUGUUUUAAUAAUAUCUUGAAUAUCUUUAUCAUACCAUAUUCAUCAUACUAAUUACAUAUAGAAUGAUUGUAGGAAUGCACUUUGUUGUUAAGGACACUUUGUCAAGGUCAAAGCAUAAGAUUAUUGAGAUGACUUCUUUGACAAUAAUUUGUAACUUACAAACUUCACAUCAUAAGUACACACUCAGAUGAAGAAUCAAUAAGAUAUUUCUAUAGAUUUUUUUUGGAUCAUUUACUCCUGGGUAAAAGUUAGUAACUGAGAUUACUGAUUUGAGUCCUGUAAUGCAAUAACUUUAACAUUGUGUGAUAACUUAUAGACUUUAUAAAAAUUAGGUGCAAAUUCUUAGGAUAGGAAUGAAAUGUUAAUCAAAUGUACAAUGUUCAAAGGUGUUUAUAUGACUAUUACUAUGUAAUACCUUGGUUUUCUGUAAAAAUCCUAUAUUCACUACAUAGAUAAAGACCGGUAUAAUAUAUAUUUUAAACUAUGAUGAAGGAAAUAAAAAGGUCAAAAGCUCUCCCCUUCAUAUCUGUCAUAUUCUGUCAUACACAACAAUGGAUAAAUUGCAGUCAUUUAACAAAAUGAGGUCUAAUCAAAUCCUAGAAUUGAUAUUGUUAUUUUCUGAUAAUAUGAGAUCUUUAAAAAAAAAAUUCCCAGACUUCAAAGUAUCUUAAUGUGACAUUUAUUUUUACCAAUUCAUAUUGAAGACAGUUGUUAUGUAUGAGAAGUAUACAUUUAAACCUUUUAUUUUUCAUCUUAUUUCUACAACCCCUAACAAAUUACACAGAUGUGUAAAAGCUAGCUUUGGUGUAAUUAUUACUUUCCUGGAACUGCAAAUACAUUUUGUUUGUGUAUGUGUGUGUGUGUCCUAUUUUGAAUUUAAUAGGUCUCAAUAGGACCCCCAUAAAGAUGUUAAGUGUCCCCUGAUCUGUGAUGUAAUAAUAUCUUGAAUAUUUCUAUCAACCAUUAGACUUCAUGCUUACUACACAGAACAGGUUAGAGUAAUACACUUAGUUUUAUAGGACACUUUGUCAGGGUCAAAGCAUGGGAUUAUUGAGAUAACUACCUUUGACAAUAAUUUGUAA